UUCAGGGCUCAGUGGUAGAGUGCUCGCCUAGAAUGUAGGAGGCACUGAGUUCGAUUCACAGCAUCAUGUAU
rnacentral:tRNA from 1 species